AUUGAACGCUGGCGGCAGGCCUAACACAUGCAAGUCGAGCGGCCGCACGGGGAUAGCUCCCUUCUUCAGCUGGCGACGGGCGGGUGAUUACUAAGAAUCUGCCUUACCAAUUGGACUAGCGUCAGUACGCGGGGCCUAAUACCGCAUAAGACCAUAUGUCGAACGGGUGGAAUCUUGGGACCUAGCCCCCUCAGAUGAGCCUAAGACGGGUUAGCGAGUUGGUGUGGUAGAGGCCUAACAAGGCGACGAUCCGUAGCUGCCCUGAGAGGAUGAUCAGACACACUGGAACUGAGACACGGUCCAGACUCCUACGGGAGGCAGCAGUGGGGAAUAUUGGGCAAUGGGCGCAAGCCUGAUCCAGCCAUGCCGCGUGUGUGAAGAAGGUCUUCGGAUUGUAAAGCACUUUUAUUAGGGAAGAACCGCAGUAUGUUUAUAUCUCCCCGUUUUGACGGUACCCAAACAAUAAGCACCGGCUAACUUCGUG
rnacentral:rRNA from 1 species